AACGCAGUAGCAAUACUGAGUGGCAAACGGGUGAGUAUAAUGUGGGAAUCUGCCUUUUGGUCUGGAAUAACACGGGGAAACCUGUGCUAAUACCGGAUAAGCCCUUACGGGGAAAGUUUUAAUGCCGAAAGAUGAGCCCGCACUUGAUUAGCUAGUUGGUAAGGUAAAAGCUUACCAAGGCAACGAUCAAUAGCUGUUCUUAGAGGGAGACCAGCCACAUUGGGACUGAGACACGGCCCAGACUCCUACGGGAGGCAGCAGUGGGGAAUCUUGCACAAUGGGGGAAACCCUGAUGCAGCGAUGCCGCGUGAGUGAAGAAGGCCCUUGGGUUGUAAAACUCUUUCGUCGGGGAAGAAAAUGACUGUACCCGAAUAAGAAGGUCCGGCUAACUUCGUGCCAGCAGCCGCGGUAAUACGAAGGGACCUAGCGUAGUUCGGAAUUACUGGGCUUAAAGAGCUCGUAGGUGGUUAAAAAAGUUCGAUGGUGAAAUCCCAAGGCUCAACCUUGGAACUGCCAUCAAAACUUUUUAGCUAGAGUGUGAUAGAGGUAAGUGGAAUUUCUAGUGUAGAGGUGAAAUUCGUAGAUCAUUACGAAAGAACACCACAA
rnacentral:rRNA from 1 species